UUUCAAUUUUGCCAUUUUCUAAACACAGAAAAAUGUAUCCCUCCAAUUCAGAAUAUUGAAUGUCUUAUGGAAAGCGAAAGGUCAUUUGUAACUGUCCAAAGGAUUGAUGGAAUUGAAAUACCUCCUUGACCUUCACCCUGCGCUCAUAAAGAACAGUUUCAGAUGACAGAGCAUCAGAUCACAUCAUUUGUAAACAAGACAUCCAUGAAUGAAGGUAUUACUAUAUUAUUUAAACACCUUUCCCAAUUGAAGCAUGAAAAAACAGCCAAAAAUUCAGAAAAAAAGAAUGAGUUGGUAAGCAUAAGCUAAAUUGUCAUUUAUCAUAUCAUUGAAACAACUGAUUAAAAUCUAGCUGUUAAAUUAUAAAACUGCACUCUAAAUAUUACUUUGGGAGAAUUAAAACAUUAAC
rnacentral:lncRNA from 1 species